UGUUCUUCAUUUUACUACUUUUCCAGCGGUCUCUAUUUUAUCUACGUUCAAGUCUUAUGUUUGCCUGCUAAACUUUUGAUACGUUUACCCUGAUAAUGGCUUCGUUCUGACAUUCAGGCCUUGGAACUGUUACAAUGUAUGCUACGGAUGUUAGCUCCCGCAGCGAAUACUUCGUAUUACGUGUCCAGUCGGGAGCGUCGGGGAUGUCAUCACGAAAUCUUGUUGAGCGAAGCGCUUCGCUUUCUCGUAUACAUGACCGGAAACUGGAGUCCAUCUAACAGCUAAAAAAUAUCAUCUUCCUUUCCAUUGGGGAAAGUGGGAAGUACUAUCCGCGGAAACCGAACUUCGCGCUGUUCGAUGUCGACUUGCAACAGUAGAGGCUUCAACGUGGCUGAAAUCUCACCGCACUCUUCAACGGACGUGCGUCAGACGCACGGUUCGUCCUCCGCCCAGAGAAAAGGGUUCCUUUUUCCAAUUACUUCCAGUCCAUUGACCAUUAAAAGACCAGCGCAGGUGGGGGAGACUCCGUAUUUCACGAAGAGCAAGGCACAUAGACAUCACACAUCAACUGUUUGAUCGGUGCCAGUCCUCAUCUCAAAGUGAUCCUUGUCAAAUAUGCCAUGACAUAUCUACGAUACAAGCUAUCCAAUAAUGAAAUCAGUAUCCCAAAAAAAAAAAAAGAAAAGAAAAAAGAAAGAAAAAGAAGUCGGCAUGCCUGAGUUUGUCCAUCGCGCAUUGCUCGUCCUCUGCUAUGUGAUGUUCCUCAUGGUUCCGUUGCAAUAUUUGACGGUGAUGUGAGCUACCAAGGGUGGUCACCGACAUUACUAUUUGAUACAUUCCGGCGUCCCUUCAUAAUUUAAGCUCUUGCUUGUGGAGUCUUGCGCCUUCUCUUGCAUUCGGAUGUCCAAUUAUCGUUUACCAUUUGCUUUUUAUUUUUAUUUUCACGUCCCCUUUUUGGUUAAUAUUUGCUUGGAGUGGAGGUUUUCAACUAUCGCUACAUCGUACGGUUGGAAGAAAAAUCUACCUUACCACAGCGACUUUGUCAGCUUUCGGUAAAAGAAAAACAGUAAAUUUUACAGUGAUAGCCUACUAAAUGACAAUUUUCCUUUCCCAUGGGCUUCGGACUUGCGAAAAUUCCUUCCAUCAACGCUACAAAUGAAUUGCGAUUGCCAAAACCCAUCAAAUAUCCUUAAUUUUCCUAGCCCUGUUCCGCUCAACAAGCAUUGACGUCUCAAGUUAUAAUCUUUCUCACACGUGUGGUCUACUCCUGCCCGCUGUGCGCGUAUUGCAUUAAGCUUGACAUCGACAUACCGGCCUCCACCCCCCUCACCAAAGCAAGAGUGCAAUACGCAGUGACUGUUUGUUUUUCCCUCAAACGCGAUGUUCCUCUUCCAGCAACUUCCCAGCUACUUCUAACGGCGCGCACGGCUGGGUAAAAACCACCAUCGUAGCGGGCUCUGUCGAGCUCGUAUUCUUCCACAUGUGCAUCGUCGCCCGCUGGACAAAGACAUCGCCUUUUCUUAGGAUCCUGGACUCGCCCGAGUCUAGCAGUAGUUCAAGGCUCCCAUCAAUUACCACUCCAGUGUCAACGCUAAUUGUGCGAUGCAUGUGAGAAAGCCCUCCCGGUUUCAUGACUAUGGUCCGCAUGAUGGUGCCGUUGUUAAUAACGAUGCCCCCCGGGUUGGCGAGGUGGUUGCAGUAGAUUUGGAUAUCGGUAUUGGCGGAGAGGGAUACUGGAAAGCCUUCAGUUGCAUAUUGGGUGCUGAACGUGGCGAGGCCGCUUGGGAAUUCUACAACGGGGACAGUGGUAGGGACGGAGGUGUCGAAGAUGGAGGCAGCUGACGCAUCAUGAGUGGUUAUGACACGUUGAGGGGUUUGUUCGUCGGACAUUUCGCGAGUAUUCAUUUCCUUCCCCUCUUUAACUGGUUUCAACAGGAUGGGCAGAUUUGUUUCUUUUUUCAGAUGAUGGUAGAUGUCGUCGAAGAAAAACCAAAAAGGCAACACAAUAUGUUGGGGGCGAGUGACUGCAGUAGCCGUAGCACCAUGUAACAUGUUACCCCUCCUCAGGAACUUGUUAAGGAUUAUUUAGAUUAUGCCUCUGCCUGCAAAUCACCGCCCGCAAAUUGACGAAACGGAC
rnacentral:sRNA from 2 species